rnacentral:hammerhead_ribozyme from 1 species
GUACAGCUGAAGAGUCCCAAACUAGGACGAAACGGCUGUCCAGUAC